GUUGGCGCUGCCGAGGCUGCUUUCCUCGUUCAGUUUGACAAGGAUGCUCUGAUUGGCCAGCGCGACCCUGCAGUAGUUGGCCGGAAAGAGUCGAGGCGCCUGAUUGGCCGCGCCGCACCUGCAAUGCGUCAAGCCGCAGUGGGCGUGAAUGCCCAUGGCUGGAGGGGCAGCCGGCCGCCUUCGGGAGGGAGCGGCUCCGCCUAUGGCCGCCAUCUUUACUAGUGGCAGCCGGGACGUCCCAGACGCAAAGGGGUUUUUCAGGGCGCUCUUGGGCCAGUAGAAAAACGCUUUGCGACAGAAGUUUUGUGGAGGGGGGUUCUUUUCCUUUUUUCCAUUGCGGUGGGUUGUUUCGGUUUUGCUCAGGUGCCAGGGAGGUGGAGGGGGUAGAAUUCGCGGGCUCCCGGCUCAGGGCCGAGUGGCCAUCCAGGAAGGAGGGGGUCUGACAGGACGUUUAGCCGCCGCUUCCCGAAAACCGCUGGGUCUGCGUUCUCUCGGCGAGCGCGGGGAGUGUGAUUUGAUUCCUCUCCAUUUCUAGAAGCAAAAGGGAGAUUUGCUUCCUGGGCAUCUUGCUCGGGCUGGAAAGCAGUUCUGGAAAGCUCUCCCGAAUACGUCAUGGUUCUUGCUCAUGCUGUGCGCCUGCAGGGAAUGCGUUUUUUGUGUUUUAGAGCUGUAAGUCCAGUAGCCGUCUUGGAAACUAUUUACCGGCUGCAGGGACAGUGGCCUGCAGGAGCAAAACGGAGCUUGCCUGACAGACAUGCUACGAGAUGUUGGCUGAAAAUUAUUUUGAUCUUAUCAGUUUAGUUGCCUUUUUAGGCAACUAUUCUGUGUGUGUGUGUGUGUGUGUGUGUGUGUGUGUGUGUGUGCUCGCGCGCGCGCGCGCGCGCAUCCGGCUUUCAUUCGUCUCUGAUAUCCACACCCGCAAAAAAGAGAAAAACCCUCUUCUUAUCUUUUACUGCAGCAGAAGUGGUCGUUGUCCAGGACUCUCUUCAGUGGAUAUGGGUGAAAAGAAAGACUAUGUUCCCUGGGUGAAUUAGAGCUGGAGAAACGAGAAAGGCCAUGGUUGUCUUGGUUUAGCGGGAGGGAUGUCUCUGUUGGUUUUAUUUGAGCUGCGUAGGUGCAAAUUCGGUGCAGUGUGGGUAUCCAAAGGUGAAUUCUGGAGCUGCCUUGGUGUGGGUGUUGCCAUGGCUACAGGGAGAGGUAGUUGGUGAGUUACGGGGGCCAAUAAACCAAGCAAGGCCAGGCCUCUCCCUUGAAUGAAGCCUUAGUAUUAACUAUCCAAGUUUAUGUAUCCUGGCUUUCACCAUUCCCAUCCCGGUCCAAGGUUCCUGGACUGAUCAUUACAGGCACACGAGGGUCUUGUAUUGAUUCCUAUAUUGACUAAUACAGGCGCAGUCACUGCCUUGUAUGGGUUUUGUAAUUAGAGGCUGCAUACGGGAGCAUAGUUUUGGAACCAUUGGCCAUACAAUUCGAUGUGUAAGUUACUGCUUCUCUUACCUCAUCAUACCGAGUUCGAACAUUUAAUCAUUGGCUUUUUAUGCCUUUUCCCAUAGGCAAACCAUCACUUUACCUUAGGGUGCUUUCUGCCUAAAACUUACACUCCAUUUUACUGUGUAUCAAUAUAAUACCAGAGCACUGAGUUCAUGGAUAUUGCAAAAGAAAGACAGUUGCAGCUUUGCAUAAUCGCCAUAUAGCAACAACCACUCGUGCCUUUGUGGAACACGCAGUAAUUCAGUGUUCUUUGUCAGCUGCAGUGCUGGGAGUCCGCCACUUGGCUUGCUGUGUGAGGUAGAGCAAAGGACUACAUCUUCCAGAGUCUUGGUUUCUUCUGUAGUAUGAAGAGAAUCAAGUCUGUUUCCCAGUCCUUGUGACGAUUGCAUGAGAUGGGAAUGUGCCAGCACUAUGUAAAUUGUAGAACUAUUGACAUAAUGAUAUUCAGUUACUAAAGCAUUUAUUGAGUGCCAAUAACUGUCUGACACUGUGAGAGGAAGAUUUUCCUUCAGUAUUUUCUGCUUUGUGGGGUGAACAGAUUGACAAACUCAGAUCUAAAGUAAACCUUAAAUAGCAUAGUUUUUUUCUUAAUUGAAGGCAUAGUAUUAUUGUAGCCUUAUUUGCAUGCAGGCCAGAUUUGAGGGCCCUUAGGGUGACUAGCACAUCAGUUUGCCUUGGUCUUUCCUGGUUUUAGCAUCAAAGGCCCAUGUCCUAGAAAGCGCCUCUGUCCCAGGCAAACCAGGACAUUUGGUCACCCUUGGACUGUUUUCAUUCCCACAAGAUGGGAGGAUGAACAGAAUAGGAAAUGAAGAUUCCUACUAUAUAGAGGCGAUUAGGUUUCCCUGCAGCUGGAGGCUACUGGGCUCAAGAAAAGGGAUGUCCUUGUGUAAGGUAAAAGAAAACAAGUAUUUCAGGCAUCCAGAGGGAGAACUCACUUUGCUAGAGGGAUGAGAGAAAGCUUUGUGGAGAAGGUGGCAUCCAAGCUAGCUUGGAGGAUCAGCGACUUAUAUGGAUGUACAUGGGGAAGGCAUUCAACACAGAGGGAAUACCAGGAACAAAGCUACCAAGCUGAAAAGAGAAGGGUAUGUUAGGGAAGGGGAAGAAGUUUCAUCUGUUAUUAAGGGGCCUCUUGGGAGACAGGCUGGUGGCAGGUUUGUUAAGGCUAGAUAGAGAAUGGCCACACAUUCACGGCCAGAAGAUAAGAUGAUGCCGUUGCAUGGAAUCCAUUGAAGAGUUUUGACAAGAGACGGACAGAAUCAGAGCAGAAGAACCUUGUGAUCAGAACUCAAGGGCAUGGUGGGUUGGGUGGGUCCCGGAUACCCGUCCUCUCACUGUCCCCCAGCAUCAUCUAGUUGAAGAGGAAGUGGUUCCCUGGCUGCCAAGUGUCAGUGAAGCGCUGUGUUAAAGUUCUCUGGGAAGGGGUCUCGUCGACGCUUGGUAAGUAGUAAUCUGGCAGUUUGCUUCUGGCCAAUGGUAAGCUGACCCUUAACAAAACUGUGACGUAAGAAAGGUUAUUUUUUUACACCAUUCACCCUGGUUCCCAUCGUCAGGUCACAGCCUCCAUCUUCAGACAUUCAGAGUCCUGACUUAGUGUUCUCCAUGACACACCUUCUCCUCGAGCUUACUUUCUGGGAAGGAUGUUAUUAAUAUGCUAAUGCAAAUUUAGGUUAAUGUCUUAUCUCUCUCAGGGAUAUGUGCAUUUCAAACCUUUCUUCUAUGGAAUGAUAGCACCAGCUGACAGCAGAGGUAUUUCGAGGCCCUUCUGGAAAUUAUUAUCAUGUUAAACUGUCUCCCAGCCUGUCUUCUUUUAAGGUCUUAGCCUCUAGUUCCAUCUCCAGCAUGCCCCUCUUAUCUCUUUCUCUCAUUCAUUUAUUCAACAAGUAUUUAUAGAGCUUCAGUAUGUGUGAUGUACUAGGCUAGGCACAGGGAGUAGCACAAUAAACUAAAGAAAGGCACAGUCCCUACUGCAGUGGACUUUAUAGUCUAAUGAGAGAUUCUGUCAAAUAAUCAUAUAAACACAUGUCAAGUUGUAACUGUGGUAAGUGCUAUGAAGGGGAGAACAGAGUGCUGUGUAUAUCUAAUAGGGGCCCUAGCCAGGAGGUCCAGGACAUACUCCCUGAGAAAGUCUGAUUGAACUGAAUGGGAGUUAAUGAGACAGAAGGAUUGAUAGGAUGUAUUGGCCUCCUAGGAUUGCCAUAAUAAAGUACCAAAAAUUGGGUUGCUUAAAGCAUCGGAAAUGUAUUAUUUCGUGGUCCUGGAGGCUAGAAGUCCGCAAUCAAGGUGUCAGCAGGGCCGUGCUCUCUCUGAUGGUUCUAGCAGAGACUCCUUCCUUGUCUUAUCUAGCUUCUGGUGUGUGCUGCAACCCCAGGUGUUCUUUGGCUUGUAGAUGUACCUCCCAAGGCAUAUAACUGCCUUCUCCCUUUGUGUCUUUAUAUUUCCUUCCCUCUGUACAUGUUGGUCUCUGUGCCCAGAUGUCCCCUUUGUAGUAAGAACAUCAGUCAUAUUAGAUUAGGACCCACCCUAAUGACCUCAUUUUGUUUAACUUGAUUACUUCUGUAAAGACCCUGUCUUCAAAUAAGAUCACCUUCUGAGGUACUAGGGGUUGGAGCUUCAACAUAUCUUUUUGGGGGCCACAAUUCAACCCAUAACAGGACAAGAAGAAGAGGAGUAGAAGAGUGUUCUAUGCAGGGGAAACAGUACAUGACAUGGUCCUUUGGCGGGAGGAAACAUGGCCUCUGUGGAGUAGAAAGUGAGGGGUUGUGUGGUGUGAGAGGAAGCUGGAACGGAAGUAAAGAUGCGUGGUUAGGCCUGCAUUAGGGACUUUGGUCAUAAUGUAAGAGCAAUGAAACUUUAUUGGAAGAUUUCAGCAGGAAUAAGAUGUGAUCAGAUUUGCACUUUGAAAAAUAUCACAUGGGUUGGUGACAGCAAGAAUAGAUGCAGGUAUACCAUUUAGGAAGCUACUGCAAUAGAGCAGGUGAGAGAGGAAGGAGCAUAAAGGGAAUUGGUCACAGAAAGCUAAAUAAGUGAGCCUUGAUGAUAAAUUGGAUGUAAGAUGGAGGCGGGAAUGGUCAAGAAUGAUUCAUUCCUAGAUUUCGGACUCAUUUGUCUAAAUGCAUGAAUGAACCAUGUUAUGGGCAAACUUGUGAGUUUACUUUGGACAUGCUGGUCCUGGGGUUCUCCUCUUAGAAUCGUCAGAUCAGCAUUUGUAGAUCUGGGGCCUAGAGGGAAGGUCCCAGCUGAAGAUGAAAAUUAGAAUCACUGGCAUGUAAGUGAUAAUUGAAGGUGUGCACCCCGGCUGAGAGAGUGUCUACAGGGAGAAGAGAAGAGGGCCUAGGGCAAUAGCAGAAAAUAGGCCCACAGAAGAGAUUAAGGCAGAGCAGCCAGAGACAGAAGAGGAAAACUAGGAGAGUGUGGCUUCAUAGAAGCCAGGGGAAGAGGGAGUGGUCAAAUACACCUGAGAGAGGCAAAAACUGUCCACUGGAUGUAGCAAUAUGGAAGUGAUUGGUAACUUAACGGAAAGAUUCUUUGGGCUAGUGAAAUGGAGGAAGCCAGACUGGAGGGGUGUGAUGAGUGGGCAAUGAAGACAGGCUUUAUAAACACUGACACUUUCCAGAAAUUUGGCUGUGAAAUGGUGGAAGAAGUAGUUCCUGGAAGCAGAGUGUAGGACCGUCUUAGCUCGGGCUGCUGUAACGAAGUGCCAUAGACUGGGUGGCUUCAACAACAGACUUUUAUUUUCUCACAGUUGUGAAGGCUGAAAGUCUAAGAUCAAGGCGCCAGCAUGGCUGCUUUCUGGAGAGAACUCUCUUCCUGGCUUGCAGUGGUUGCCUCGUUGCUGUGUCCUCACAUGGUGGGAAGUGAAAGUGAGAGAGAAUGAGAGAGAGCAUGCAAGCUCUCUGGUUCCUCUGAGUAUAAGGGCAGUAAUCCCAUCAUGAGGGCCCCAACCUCAUGACCUCAUCUAAAUGUAAUCACUUCCCAAAGGCUCUGUCUCCAAAUGCCAUCACAUUGGGGGCUUAGGGCUUCAACAAAUGGAUUUGGGGAGAACAAAAUUUAGUCCAUAACAAGAGAAUGUGGUUAUUUUUCUUUAAAUGGGAAGGCCUUCCGCAUGCUGAAAAGUUGCAGUUGAGGGGUAAAGAUUAAAUAAUUGAGCAAGAGAAGGGUAAUUGAAAGCACGCAGCAAGAGAGGACGGAAUAGAAAAAGUGGCCUUAGAUAAAAGAGACUGUCUCACUUAACAGUACUCUGGGAUUUCGUCCUUUGGGGGAUACCAGCAGGGGUGUGGAAUUGCACAGAACCACUUAACCUGUGAGUGUUCUCAGCUGUCAGGAUCUCUCUCCUUAGGUUCAUCACUGCCCCACGCUGCUGCAUGGAAGAGGAGCAGACUGUCAGUGUCUGCAGGUUUUAAUACAUUUCAAGUAUCAAAGCAAAUUAUUUUUCCCCUCUUCUCACCCCUUCUCACCCCUGGGCAAGGGUAGGGUGGGAAUUGGGAAAUAAAGUGACAUUUUCUGGGACCAGACCUAUAAAAGAAGGUGGUGGUGGCAGUGGUGUUUUCCUCAUAAUCCACUACAUCUAUGCUCCCCUCCCUUCUCCUGAGUACUUCCUUCAUUAAUAGAAAUCAGCGUCUGAGGAGCAGGGUCCCUUGGAGUGCUCUCCUUAGGACACCUGACAGGUAGGGGAGCCCACCGUCUUCCCUCCCUGAGGCUUCCCCAUGCCCCUGCUCUCUCAGACGGCCCUCGGACUGGGCUGAUGCUGCAGGCUGGGGCAGGUGCUUUUUAUUCCAGUUUAAUGGAAUCUAAUCUGGCACCUGCUAUAAACAUAGGAGGACCCAAAGGUCAAGCCUUUAGUAAAUCAGUUUGGUAAGAUACACCAGGUGGCAAAAGAGAGAAUCAUUUCCACUUUAAAAAAUAAAACUUUGUGAUUUUCGGUCACUUCAAGACACACCUUCUGUAUUUUUCUUCUGAGACAGUAAAAAAAAAAAUUAUUUCAUUUUUUUCAUGCCAUGGUCUAAUCAAGUCCAGCCCAGAACAAAAUCGGCCUGGCCCUCUCCGUGGGGGUGAUGAUUCUUUUUGUUGUAGUCAUCAUUUCUGGCUCCUUUUACUUUUUAAAAUUCUGGGUUUAACUGGUCCUUAAUAUAAGCGUUCCUGGGACUCCUGUGUUUCCUGUUCUCCUGUAUUCCAUUCUGCAUUUCCCAGAUUAAGCUUCGAGUCAUGGGUAGGAAUUUGUGGGCUGGCCUUCAGCUGCACCUGCUGAUAAAGACUGAACCCCACUGUCGGGCAAGUCGGGAACAUGCUGGUUCAUGCUGGCAUAAAUGGGCUUAGAGUUUCCAUGAAAGUCUUCCUUUCUUAUAUGUUUAUUUUUGUCUUUUGAAAAUAUUGAAUAAGCAUUUCCUGCAUUUCUCAUUGUAAAAGAUUUUUUAAAAAUACAGAAGUACUUAGAGCAAAAUGUAAAACAGCGUCUCUGCCAUCUCUCUUUUCCAGCACUCCCCCUGUCAAUUCCAUUUGUGAUUUCUUUAGUGGAAUUUGCAUCUUUUCAAAACAUUUUCUCGUUACAUAUACCUAAAUACUCUAAAUAUAUACUAUAUAUUAUAUAUGUAUAUAUAUGUUUAUUUAUAUAUUUUUAUAUAUGUAUAAAUACAUAUUUUGUAUAUAUUACAUUUUAUAUAUCAUAUAUACAUUAUACACAUUUAUGAGGGUUCGUUUUACAUUAACAAGAUCAAAUCAUACAUAUUAUUCUAUGACUUGGUUUUUCAUUUAAUAUGUUUUUGCAGUCGUUCUCUUUCCCUUCUCUCCCUCCCCCCUUAUUCUUUUUAAUCACUGCAAAGUAUUCCAUAAUACAGAUUUAUCAUUAUGUAACCAACUUCCUAUUGAUGUUUUUGCUGAUAACUGAUAAUGCUGCAGUGGUCAGUGCUUCCUUUGCAUUUUUGUCCAUGUGUGAAAGUAUUUCUUUAGGUUAGAUUCAAAGAGGUGGUAUCCUGGGCAUAUGCAUUCAGACUUUUGGAAAAUGUCUGUGACACCCUUUCUGCCUCCACUUGUUCCCUCAGCUGGUGCCGCCCUGGAACUCCCUGUUCUGGUUUGACUAGUCCUCCUGGCUUCCCAGAGAAGGAGACAAUGUCGGGGCUGGGGUCUGAGUGGGCAACAUGGCCACCGCUGCUGGUAUAUUCCCUUCAGUCAGAGAACCAAGAAAGUUUAGAACUGUGGCAAAAGCAGAGGAUCUCAGGAAGUGCCGCCAACACAGCUGCAGGACAGGAUAACUAAGCAGAGGAAGAUGGUUGGAUAUCCUCUUCUCAACAAAUUUUGUAUAGCACCCACCGGGUGCCAGGCACCAUGCAGCUCCCCACCCUCACUGGUCUCUCCCUUCAUACCUACUAUGUGCUGAGUGUGGUGUCAGACCAUGAGGAUCCCAUCCUGAGAGAGGCAAACUUGCUGUCUGUCCUCAGGGUGCUUGCAGUGUAGCAGAUACAGCUCCUGGAAGUAAACGGGAUCACGUGACAGGUUCUGGCCAACAGACUGUGAGUAGAUGUGCCAGGAGUCACUUUGGUGGUCUUCUUCACCUGCCACGUCAACAGCAAGAGGCUUUAUCUCCACGGUGGAGCCACCAGAGAGAAACAGCCUGCGUCCCCGAGCCCCUGCUGAAAAUGAGAUGCCCUGGAGGAUGCUCAGAGCCACAGCGGACUUUGCCCCUAACUCAAAGACCAAGAUGGAGUGGAUCUGAGACUGGUCUCCCACUCCCUUGCUUGGCACCCUGCAAAUAAACCCUUAUUUUGCUGCAAAC